rnacentral:rRNA from 1 species
AACACAGUGAAAUGUGAUAAGUAAUGUGAAUUGCAGAAUUCAGUGAAUCAUCGAAUCUUUGAACGCACCUUGCACCUUUUUUGGAUUUCCAAAAGGUACACCUGUUUGAGUGUCAUGA